rnacentral:rRNA from 1 species
AAUCAACGCUGGCGGCAUGCCUAACACAUGCAAGUCGAGCGAGAAAGUGUAGCAAUACAUGAGUAAAGCGGCGCACGGGUGAGUAACACGUGGAUAACCUGCCUCAAAGUGGGGAAUAACACCGGGAAACCGGUGCUAAUACCGCAUAUUCUGAUGAAGUCUGCGGAUUUUGUCAGUAAAGGAGCAAUUCGCUAUGAGAGGGGUCCGCGGCUGAUUAGCUAGUUGGUGAGGUAAUGGCUCACCAAGGCAACGAUCAGUAGCCGGUCUGAGAGGACGGUCGGCCACACUGGAACUGAGACACGGUCCAGACUCCUACGGGAGGCAGCAGUGGGAAUUUUUCGCAAUGGGGCAACCCUGACGAAGCAAUGCCGCGUGGAUGAUGAAGUAUUUCGGUACGUAAAUCCUUUCGACGGGGACGAAACCGCAAGGUUGACGGUACCCGUAGAAGAAGCCCCGGCUAACUCCGUGCCAGCCGCCGCAGU